GUCUGACGCGGGCGCAAGCCUCCCCAGCUUCUGCGUCAGUCGUUCCCCCUCUGGAGGUCUAACCUUCACACCCUAAGGGCCGCGACUUUCGCUGGCCCUUUUUU
rnacentral:sRNA from 1 species